rnacentral:rRNA from 1 species
AACGAACGCUGGCGGCAUGCCUAACACAUGCAAGUCGAACGAGACCUUCGGGUCUAGUGGCGCACGGGUGCGUAACGCGUGGGAACCUGCCCUUAGGUUCGGAAUAACUCCCCGAAAGGGGUGCUAAUACCGGAUAAUGUCUUCGGACCAAAGAUUUAUCGCCUUUGGAUGGGCCCGCGUUGGAUUAGCUAGUUGGUAGGGUAAAAGCCUACCAAGGCGACGAUCCAUAGCUGGUCUGAGAGGAUGAUCAGCCACACUGGGACUGAGACACGGCCCAGACUCCUACGGGAGGCAGCAGUGGGGAAUAUUGGACACUGGGCGCAAGCCUGAUCCAGCCAUGCCGCGUGAGUGAUGAAGGCCUUAGGGUUGUAAAGCUCUUUUACCCGGGAUGAUAAUGACAGUACCGGGAGAAUAAGCUCCGGCUAACUCCGUG